UAAUUGCACAGGUUGUAUGGAAAUCGCGAGACGAAUCUUUUGUAUCUAAUUAGUCCAUGAUUAGCCAUAAGUGUUACAGUAACCCACAUAUACUAAUGACGGCUUAAUUAAACUCAAAAGAUUCAUCUCGCGGUUUCCAAGCGAGUUACGAAAUUAGUGU
rnacentral:misc_RNA from 1 species